CAGCAACAUCACGGCGGGGGACACCAGACAUUGGCAAUUUAGCGAGUGAGUGAGUCUGGUUUUAUGCCGCUUUGUAGUGUAGUGCCGUGGUGUGAAAUGAUGUUGUGUACUUCAGUGAUCUAAGAUUAUGUCAUGUUUUGUGCAGUGGUUUGGAAAUAUAUCGUGUGUGUAGUGAUUUGUCAUAAAUCAUGUGAGGUGCAGUGAAGUGAAGAGAUGUCAUGUGAGGUAAAAAGCUUUUACGAGUAGUUCAGUGAUGUGAAGAGAUGGCAUGUAUAGUGUAGUGAAGUGAGAGAUAGUACGAGUAGUGCAGUGAUGUUAUGUGUAGUGUAGUGAAGUGAAAAAUAUUACGAGUAGUACAGUGAUUUGUAGUGAAGCGAUGUGAAGAGAUGUCAUGUGUAGUGUAGUGAAGUGAAAAUAUUACGAGUAGUACAGUGAUGUGAAGAGAUGUCAUGUGUAGUGUAGUGAAGUGAAAAGUAUUACGAGUAGUACAGUGAUGUGAAGAGAUGUCAUGUGUAGUGUAGUGAAGUGAAAAGUAUUACGAGUAGUACAUGAUGUGAAGAGAUAUCAUGUGUAGUACAGUGAUGUGAAGAGAUGUC